AGAAAAUUAGGAAUUUGAAAAAGUGCUAAUUCUUAGCUCCAAGACAAAGUUCUCCUUUAGUUUUAGCUUGCUAGCAAUUUUAAAGUUAAUGAAGGAGAAUCACCUACUAUUUUAAGAAAAUAUUCUUUCCUCUGUCUUAUUUAGAAAUUGUGUGCCAUGUCAAGGACUUGGAAUGUGUUGUGCUCUAUUCAGUAUCCAAAUGUAAGACGUCAGUGUUGGUAGUUCAUAACUAUGGAAAGACAAAAAGAACCACUGGAAUUAAAAAAAAAAAAAGUACAGUGGAGGUAGUUCCCAUUGUGGCUCAGUGGUAUUGAAUCCAACUACUAUCCAUGAGGAUGCUGUGUUUGAUUCCUGGCCUCACUCAGUGGAUUAAAGAUCCAGCGUUGCCAUAAACUGUGGUGUAGGUUGCAGACAUGGCUCGGAUCUGGCAUUGCUGUGGCUGUGGUGUAGGCCAGCAUCUGCAGCUCUGAUUCAACCCCUAGCCUGGGAGAUUCCAUAUGCUGUGGGUGUGGCCCUAAAAAGCAAAAAAACAGACAGAAAAAAACUAAAGUGGAGUAGGACUGAGUGUGCCUUAAGUGUCUUAAUUUUUAAGUUUAAUUAUUUUAAGUUCCUUAAGUGAUUACAACAUUUAUGUCUUAACAAGAGCCUCAAGUUCCCUUUUUUUUUAAAGGGAGCAAAAUACCUAAAAACUGAUGUUCGAUUAUAGCUUUAUGUAAUUCAUCAUCAGUUAUAUGAUUAAAAGUCAGUUGGAUUUCAGUUUCCUCCAAAGUAUCAUGAAAAUUAAUAUGUUUAUGUUGGUGAAAAAUAAAACACUGGAAAGUAGGUAGUGGUAUUAAUGGUGGUGAGUAUACGUGUGUUUAUACAUAUGUACGUACUUUUUGCCUUUUCUACAGUUACAUAGCAAACUUCUGGAGACAGAGCGCCAUCUAGGGGAAGCUCAUGGUAUGCUGAAAGAACAGGCAGCUUUCAAGUGGAAAGUUGAUGGAUAAAGAACAAGUGGUUGAUCUACACCUCAAACUUUCUCGUUUAGAAAAAAAGGAAAAAGUAACAAAUUCCACAGAAUUGCAGCAUCAGUUAGAUAAAACAAAGCAACAGCAUCAAGAACAACAAGCUCUUCAGCAAAGCACUACGGCAAAACUUUGA
rnacentral:lncRNA from 1 species